AGCCAUGCAUGUCUAAGUACAAGCCUCAGUAAGGUGAAACCGCGAAACGCUCAUUAAAUCACGUCGCAUUCUACGGCCCCUUGAUUUUACAAGGAUAAUUUCGGUAAUUCUGGAACUAAUACAUGCACACAAGGCCCAAACUUGCGUGCGGGCUGCUUUUAUUAGCUCAAAACCAAACGGCUUCGGCCGUUCCCACUGGUGAUUCUGAAUAACUUUGUGCCGAUCGCACGGCCUUGCGCCGGCAACAGAGGCCUCGACGGCGUGCCCUAUCAACUGUCGACGGUGGUAUAAACUUCCACAGUGGUUUUGACGGGUAACGGGGAAUUAGGGUUCGAUUCCGGAAAGGGAGCCUGAAAAACGGCUACCACUUCUAAGGAAGGCAGCAGGCACGCAAAUUACCCACUGGUCGCAGACCGAGGUAGUGACGAUAAAUAACGAUACCGGACUCAUCCGAGGCCCGGUAAUCGGAAUGAGUACACUUUAAAUCCUUUAACGAGGAACCAUUGGAGGGCAAGUCUGGUGCCAGCAGCCGCGGUAAUUCCAGCUCCAAUAGCGUAUAUUAAAGUUGUUGCGGUUAAAAAGCUCGUAGUUGGAUCUCGGCGCGCCGGGGGCUGUUCGCUGUUCAGCGCUACGGUCCCACGGGCGCGUGAUGGUGCCGGAAGGUCGCGGGGUGCUCUUAAUCGAGUGUCCCGGGGGCGCCGGCAGGUUUACUUUGAAAAAAUUAGAGUGCUCAAAGCAGCUUGACACGCUUGAAUAUUCGUGCAUGGAAUAAUGGAAUAGACGUCGUUCUAUUUUGUUGGUUUUCGGAAUUUGACGUAAUGAUUAAUAGGGACAGUCGGGGGCAUUAGUAUUCCGGCGACAGAGGUGAAAUUCUUGGACCGCCGGAAGACUGACGACUGCGAAAGCAUUUGCCAAGAAUGUUUUCAUCAAUCAAGAACGAAAGUUAGAGGUUCGAAGGCGAUCAGAUACCGCCCUAGUUCUAACCAUAAACGAUGCCAGCUAGCGAUCCGUGGAUGUUUUUUCUGUAGGCUCCACGGGCAGCUUCCGGGAAACCAAAGCGUGUGGGUUCCGGGGGAAGUAUGGUUGCAAAGCUGAAACUUAAAGGAAUUGACGGAAGGGCACCACCAGGAGUGGAGCCUGCGGCUUAAUUUGACUCAACACGGGAAAUCUCACCAGGCCCGGACACUGGAAGGAUUGACAGAUUGAGAGCUCUUUCUCGAUUCGGUGGGUGGUGGUGCAUGGCCGUUCUUAGUUGGUGGAGUGAUUUGUCUGGUUAAUUCCGAUAACGAACGAGACUCUGUCCUGCUAAAUAGUUGCCGCGUCUUCUGCGCGCGGCAAAUUCUUCUUAGAGGGACUGGUGGCGUCUAGCCACACGAGAUUGAGCAAUAACAGGUCUGUGAUGCCCUUAGAUGUUCUGGGCCGCACGUGCGCUACACUGAAGGGAUCAACGUGUUUUCCCUGGGCGAGAGCCUCGGGUAACCCGCUGAACCCCCUUCGUGGUAGGGAUCGGGGCUUGCAAUUAUUCCCCGUGAACCAGGAAUUCCCAGUAAGCGCGAGUCAUAAGCUCGCGUUGAUUACGUCCCUGCCCUUUGUACACACCGCCCGUCGCUACUACCGAUUGAACGUUUUAGUGAGGUAUUUGGAUCGGACCUCUCGCGGUUGCGCCGCGGGUGCUGUCUGAGAAGACUCCCAAACUGAGCGUUUAGAGAAAGUAAAAG
rnacentral:rRNA from 1 species